CCGCCCCUUAACACUGCACUUCCGGCGGAGGGCGGGGCCUCCAGGCUCAUUAGCAUCCGGUCAGGUUGGGCUGGACGCGGCGCCCCCUGCAGGUACUGAAGUGUACGUCAGCGGGGAGCUGCUGCCUGGUGAGGCGGGAGGGUUGCAAAACGUCACUGGGAUUCCUGUGAACAGGUAGAAGGUGUUGGUUGUGCUUCCAAGAAACUUGACAUCAGGCAAUAAUUGGAGAAGAAAAAGUGAUGCGUUCAGAAGUUUUACUUCCCAAAGAUUAGAAACAACUCCAAUGUUCACCAGCAGCACAGGCGACAUUAUGUUAAUUACAGCUGUGUUUUAUUUAGUUUACCAUGUGCCAGGCACUGGAGAAUGCAUUUGUCAUGUAGUGUCUUGUUAUGUCCUCAAAACAGCCAUAGCGGUUCCAGAGAUUAGAAGUCUAGAAUGAUCCUAGCUACCAGACCAGGAUCAAGGAGUUGGCAGGGCUGCAUUUCUUCUGGAGGCUCCGUGGAAGUAGCUUGCCUCUUCCAGCUUCUCCAAGUCAGUAAUGGCAGUAAAUACGUUGGCUAUAGAGGUCCUUGAAUGUAUAAUUACUGCUCCAUCUGUUCUCAAGACUACAUUUGAAUACAGUAUGUGUGUCUGGACCAUCAAGACAUAAUAGCCCACCCACACUGGAUUAUUCUGAAGCAAAUCCAGGACAUCAUAGUAUUCCAUCUGUAAAUAUUUCACGAUCCUUCGCAUUUAGAGGCAGUAUGCUGAAAUAGCUGAAGACUGAGUAAUGCCUGCAACUAACUCAAAUGGUUCAGCAUCAAGAAAGAAAAAGAAAGCAACUGUGGCAAAAUGUUAACAACUGGUGAAUUGAAGCAAAGGGGACAUGGAUAUUCACAGUAAUAUUCUUGCAAGUUUUCUGAAGGUUUGACAUUUUUCAAAAUAGGAAGUGAGGAAAAAUUAGUAGCAGCUAUGCAUCAAUGUGCACCUUGACUUAUAGAAUAGAGCCAUUCUAAGAUAUAUGUAAAGGGAAAUUUUGUAGAUUAAAUCUUCUGUAUACUCCUUCAGUGGACCUCUAACUUUAGUGUGCAAAAUUAGCUAGAGAGGGCUUGUAAAACCAGAUGGCUGGGUCCCACCUGCAGAAUUCUGAUCCAUUAGGACUAAAGUGGGGCUGAGAAUCCACAUUUCUUAUCUAUUCCCAAGUGAUGCUGGUACCGCUGGUCCAGGGACCACACUUUGAGAACCAGUGUCCCACAGUAUGAGCUUUCUAAAGGAACUGGAUUAAAACCUGCCACUCAGGGAACCAAACUUGAAAGGUGUUAAUGAGCUAUUCGUACUAAAAACACAUAAAACCAAAUAAGCAUUAGGCCUAAAUGAGCAGAUCUAUGGCAGAUUUGAAGUGUGGCCUGUAGGGGCACUAAGCAGAAAGAAUUUUAAUGAGGUGUUUAAAGGGAGGAGAGUGUUGUAUGAGCAUGAGUAUGAGAUUAAUGAUCAUGACAAAACCUUGAAUUCUUGUAAUGGUGGCAAUGGGCUUGUCCCUGACACUGGUUUUCUUGGUGGGCAGUGAUACACUUCCGGGAUGAGCUAGGUUUACAAAACUAACUAGGCUACCGGUUUUUUCUCCAUGUGAUACCAACUGGACUAUGUAAUGACUUAUUCACUCUUUUAUUCAACACCCACUGCAUUGUAAGUAUUGCUCUAGGUAUGGAUGGAUUAGAAAGGUAUAGCCUACAAUUUUUUCACCUCAAAAAAUAAUAGAUCACAGCCAGUUAUAAUUAAUUGAAUUAAUAUGAAAGAUGAAAUGAAAAGGCAAAUUUAAAAUUUCCAAAGGUCUUCUUUAUUAAUAGAGAAACUUACUAAAUAUUAUAGAAGUCUAUUUUAACUCAUAAAUUGAUUAUAUAAAAUUAAAGUGACAAAUGAAUAAGAAAGUUUCUUAGAACCAGUUCACUUAGAUGUUUUAUUCUCUUAAAAAAAUAUUGAUAAUUGUAGAUAGUUUAUAGCAAUGUCCUACCUUAUAC